GUGUACCCGCGGCAAGACGGAAAGACCCCGUGAACCUUUACUAUAGCUUGACACUGAACAUUGAGCCUUGAUGUGUAGGAUAGGUGGGAGGCUUUGAAGCGUGGACGCCAGUCUGCGUGGAGCCGACCUUGAAAUACCACCCUUUAAUGUUUGAUGUUCUAACGUGGACCCGUGAUCCGGGUUGCGGACAGUGUCUGGUGGGUAGUUUGACUGGGGCGGUCUCCUCCUAAAGAGUAACGGAGGAGCACGAAGGUUGGCUAAUCCUGGUCGGACAUCAGGAGGUUAGUGCAAUGGCAUAAGCCAGCUUGACUGCGAGCGUGACGGCGCGAGCAGGUGCGAAAGCAGGUCAUAGUGAUCCGGUGGUUCUGAAUGGAAGGGCCAUCGCUCAACGGAUAAAAGGUACUCCGGGGAUAACAGGCUGAUACCGCCCAAGAGUUCAUAUCGACGGCGGUGUUUGGCACCUCGAUGUCGGCUCAUCACAUCCUGGGGCUGAAGUAGGUCCCAAGGGUAUGGCUGUUCGCCAUUUAAAGUGGUACGCGAGCUGGGUUUAGAACGUCGUGAGACAGUUCGGUCCCUAUCUGCCGUGGGCGCUGGAGAACUGAGGGGGGCUGCUCCUAGUACGAGAGGACCGGAGUGGACGCAUCACUGGUGUUCGGGUUGUCAUGCCAAUGGCACUGCCCGGUAGCUAAAUGCGGAAGAGAUAAGUGCUGAAAGCAUCUAAGCACGAAACUUGCCCCGA
rnacentral:rRNA from 1 species